rnacentral:hammerhead_ribozyme from 1 species
GUUCAACUGAUGAGUCCCAAAUAGGACGAAACAUGCGUCCUAGAU